rnacentral:rRNA from 1 species
AGAGAGAGACAUGCGCGCAUAUCAAUAAGCGGAGGAAAAGAAACUAACUAGGAUUCCCUCAGUAACGGCGAGUGAAGCGGGAAGAGCUCAAAUUUGAAAUCUUCAAGGUUCUACCUUGACGAAUUGUAGUUUAAAGAAGUGUUUUCUGUUGGAGUUUUGGUAAGAGUUCUUUGGAAUAGGACAUCAUAGAGGGUGAGAAUCCCGUAUUUGACCAUUAUUUCCAGCUUUGUGAUACACUUUCAAAGAGUCGGAUUGUUUGGGAAUGCAGUCCAAAAUGGGUGGUAAAUUUCAUCUAAAGCUAAAUAUUGGCGAGAGACCGAUAGCGAACAAGUACCGUGAGGGAAAGAUGAAAAGAACUUUGAAAAGGGAGUUAAACAGUACGUGAAAUUGUCAAAAGGGAAGCGUUUGACACCAGUGUUGUUUUCUCGAAAAUCAAUUAAAAAGGUUGGAUUUUGAGUAGUUAUGACUUUCAUCAGCUUGCACUCUUUCUUAUGUACUUUCUUAAUGCACUUUUCGUUAACAAGUCAACAUCAAUUUCUUUUGUUGUAAAAGGGUCAUUGGAAGGUGGCUUUCUUUUCGGAGAAAGUGUUUAUAGCCUUUGAUCUCUGCAAUCCGGAGAGACUGAGGUCUGCAGCGUAGACUCUUCGGGGUUAGAUACAUUUGUGCUAAGCUAUAGCUUUUAUAGACAACUUGUUGACUAUGAUUAGUCAUUGUAGCUUACUCGCUUAUGCUAUUUUACCUACGCUUAGGAUGUUGACAGCAGUAUAGACUGU